rnacentral:rRNA from 1 species
UGGGGGAUGUUGCACAAUGGGCGAAAGCCUGAUGCAGCGACGCCGCGUGGGGGAUGAAGGCUUUCGGGUUGUAAACCUCUUUCGCUAUCGAACAAGGCCCGCUUAGGGUGGGUUGAGGGUAGGUGGAGAAGAAGCGCCGGCUAACUACGUGCCAGCAGCCGCGGUAAUACGUAGGGCGCGAGCGUUGUCCGGAAUUAUUGGGCGUAAAGGGCUUGUAGGCGGCUUGUUGCGCCUGCUGUGAAAACGCGGGGCUUAACUUCGCGCGUGCAGUGGGUACGGGCAGGCUUGAGUGUGGUAGGGGUGACUGGAAUUCCAGGUGUAGCGGUGGAAUGCGCAGAUAUCUGGAGGAACACCGAUGGCGAAGGCAGGUCACUGGGCCAUUACUGACGCUGAGGAGCGAAAGCAUGGGUAGCGAACAGG